CUCUGCCUAAAGCCAAGAACAAAGAAAUCAACAGAAACAUUGGCUUUAUGUAGUCAAAGUCUUACCCUUGAAACAUCUGCAGGAUGAAGAGGUUUAAAAAACAGUGUUCUCUACAGUCAAGUGUAUCUGAAGGACAAAAUAAGAACAGGACAUUGACAAGGUUGGGAAGAACCGAAGUCAUCCUUUUGUCCCUCUUGAAAGGUGAAGGUCCUGAGGUCAGAGAGGUGGCUGGAUUUGUUGAAAUCUCAGAGCAGUUUAGAAGACUAUUUUCAAGAACUGUGUUGGGAGGCUGCCACGUGUCUGACUUAGAGCCAAGAUGGGCACAAGAAUGGAGAAUAAGACCCAGUUUGUGCCAGGAGAUUUUUUUAUUUGAAUUAGAAACAAGAUUGUUUUAUAUGACAAUACCAGUUCCCUUGUCUCUCCUGUCCUCCCCUACCACCCCCUCCCCCACUAAAACCCUACCUAUCACAUAUCCUUUCUGCUCCCUCUGGAUGGUGAGGCCUUCCAUAGGGUGUCAUCAGAGUCUAUCUUAUCCUUUGGGAUAGGGCCUAGGACCACCCCCGUGUGUCUCGGCUCAGGGAGUAUUCCUCUAAGAGGAAUGGGCUCCCAAAGUCCACACCUAUGCUAGGGAUAAGUACUGAACUACUACAGGAGGCCUGUAGAUUUCUGAGGUUUCCUCACUGAAACCCAUGUUCCUGGAGUCAGGUUCAAUCCCAUACUGGUAUCCCAGCUAUCAGUCUGGGGAGCAAAAGUUCCCUGAUGUUCAGGUCAGCCAUUUCUGUGGGUUUCACCAGCCUGGCUGGACCCCUUUGCUCUUCACUCGUCCUCUGCAUCUGGAUUCUAGUUCAGUUCAGUGAUUAGUUGUGGGUGUCUGCUUCUACAACCGUCUCCUUUUUCAUAUGGAUUUUCUCACUUGCCCAUGGUGCUGCUGCUAUUCUCAGAAAGUGGACCAAAGAGAUCAAUAGUUCAGGCUUCUCAAGUUUUGCACACUAAGCUUGGAACUUUGCACACAAACAGAUACCCAAGCACACUGUUUUCCCCUUCUGCACAACCAAACUUAGAAACAUAAAGACCAAGAUUGAAUUGUCAGGGGGUCUGGGCCCAACCAUCAUCGGCUGACACUGGGGCUUCCUUUCAUAAGGGUCUUUGCCACAGGAGCACUGGGAGAGUUCUGAGAAAGAGACCCUAUUGGAGGAUCUCCCUGUUGUGGUAAGGUAAGCUUGACAGGCACCUGAGGACUGACUGGGAUGCAUGUUCUAUAAGCAUCCACCUGGAAGACACAUUUGAAAGGAAGAGGCCAAUGAAGGGCACGUUGCAGCAGUGCAUUCAGCUGGUGCCUGGUCCACUCCCUGGUCCUUUGGUGUGUUCUGACUUGUAGCUGAAGUGAAGUGACAAGGACUUAACUUUGCACAUCCAGCAGCCAAUGGCAAAUAACUGACAGAAGUCAAUACACAAAUGUUUGCCUUUGAAGCAAAGAGCUCUGGCAGUAUUUCCUAUUGUUGCUCUAAAAAUAUGACCAAAUACCCUCAAUGAUGAAAGAAACAUAACUAUAUUAUCUUAGAGCUUUGAAGAUCAUACUUUUGAAGUGGUUCUUAUUGGGUUAAUAUCAAGGUGUUGGUGAAGCUGAUCUACUUUUGGGGGCUCUUGAGAAUAAUUUAUUCAUCUGCCUCCCUGGUGGCAUCUGGAUGCUGUUUGUAUUCCUUGGAUUUGUAAUUUUUUUUUUUUUGAGACGGGAUACCAUGUAGCCCAGUUUUGCCUUGAACUCUCGUUGUAGCCAAGGCUACCCUGGAACUAUGGAUCUACUUGCCUCAACCUCCCAAAUGGGGGGGCAGUUUACAGGUAUACAUCACCAACCCUGGCUUCCUUGGCGCUUCCUUGGCCCUGCCUUCAUCUUCAAAGUUAGCAGGGUAAUAACUUCAACUUUCUCUGCGACUCUGACCUGAUGUCUCUCUCUUAAAAAGCCCUUGGAAUAUUUUUUGGGUCUACUUAGGU
rnacentral:lncRNA from 1 species